AAUGCCGGAUGCUCCAGUUGAUCGCAUGGUCUUCUGGGAAAGCUUUCGCGGUAUGGGAUGGGGUCGCGUCCUAUCAGCUUGACGGCGGGGUAACGGCCCACCGUGGCUUCGACGGGUAGCCGGCCUGAGAGGGCGACCGGCCACAUUGGGACUGAGAUACGGCCCAGACUCCUACGGGAGGCAGCAGUGGGGAAUAUUGCACAAUGGGCGCAAGCCUGAUGCAGCGACGCCGCGUGAGGGAUGGAGGCCUUCGGGUUGUAAACCUCUUUUAUCGGGGAGCAAGCGUGAGUGAGUUUACCCGUUGAAUAAGCACCGGCUAACUACGUGCCAGCAGCCGCGGUAAUACGUAGGGUGCAAGCGUUAUCCGGAAUUAUUGGGCGUAAAGGGCUCGUAGGCGGUUCGUCGCGUCCGGUGUGAAAGUCCAUCGCUUAACGGUGGAUCCGCGCCGGGUACGGGCGGGCUUGAGUGCGGUAGGGGAGACUGGAAUUCCCGGUGUAACGGUGGAAUGUGUA
rnacentral:rRNA from 1 species